rnacentral:rRNA from 1 species
AGAGUUUGAUUCUGGCUCAGGAUGAACGCUAGCUACAGGCUUAACACAUGCAAGUCGAGGGGAAACGACAUCGAAAGCUUGCUUUUGAUGGGCGUCGACCGGCGCACGGGUGAGUAACGCGUAUCCAACCUGCCCAUCACUUGGGGAUAACCUUGCGAAAGUAAGACUAAUACCCAAUGAUAUCUCUAGAAGACAUCUGAAAGGGAUUAAAGAUUUAUCGGUGAUGGAUGGGGAUGCGUCUGAUUAGCUUGGUUGGCGGGGUAACGGCCACCAAGGCUACGAUCAGUAGGGGUUCUGAGAGGAAGGUCCCCCANAUUGGAACUGAGACACGGUCCAAACUCCGUACGGGAGGCA